rnacentral:rRNA from 1 species
GCCAGCGGCCGAGAGGCGCUGGGCACUCUGGGGGGACUGCCCCCGAAAGGGGGAGGAAGGAGCGGGCUACGGCAGGUCGGUAUGCCCCGAAUGCCCCGGGCCGCACGCGACGUUCAAUGGCGGGGACAGCGGGAUGCGACCCCGAAAGGGGGAGCCAAUCCCUAAACCCCGCCUCAGUAGGGAUCGAGGGUUGCAACUCGCCCUCGUGAACGCGGAAUCCCUAGUAACCGCGCGUUAACACCGCGCGGUGAAUACGUCCCCGCUCCUUGCACACACCGCCCGUC